rnacentral:lncRNA from 1 species
GCCAAAUACAAGGUACAAAAUUCAAAUAUAACUUAAUUAUACAAUAGUCAUGUAAAAUACGACAAAACAUAUGCUGUGAGUUUUAAUACAAAUAUUGUCAUCUAGACAAUAUACAAACUCAAUGGGGUCCUCAUUACAUUUAUUAUCACACUAUUUCACAGAAAAGUGAGGACUACUAAUGCACCAUCUAGGACCAUCACUCUGAUCCCCGACUAGCCCCAGCUACGUUAUCAUUUCCUGAAGAGAACAAUGAAAGAAAGGGUGAGCUCAACUAGCCCAGUAAGAAAUAUUAUGACUAAGAUAAUGCAGAAUAAAUUAUCGUUAGCCUUCAACAGUGUUAAACUGAUACAAUAUAACAAACAUCAAGUUUAACUGCAGCGGAACCAGCAAUCCAUUAAAAGAGUCAAGUAGAGAAUAAAAUCUACUAUCUUCUAUGAUUUAAA